rnacentral:piRNA from 1 species
UGUGUAUCCUGCCUCACCCAUCUGUAAUUC